UGGAUCUGUGAUGACCACUGGUGCCAUAUGAGUCAUGGAUCAUAACAACAGGUCUGGGAGUCUGGGGUCCAC
ensembl:snoRNA